GGCAGGCCUAACACAUGCAAGUCGAGCGAGACCUUCGGGUCUAGCGGCGGACGGGUUAGUAACGCGUGGGAACGUGCCCUUCUCUGCGGAAUAGCCACUGGAAACGGUGAGUAAUACCGCAUACGCCUUCGGGGGAAAGAUUUAUCGGAGAAGGAUCGGCCCGCGUUAGAUUAGAUAGUUGGUGGGGUAACGGCCUACCAAGUCUACGAUCUAUAGCUGGUUUUAGAGGAUGAUCAGCAACACUGGGACUGA
rnacentral:rRNA from 1 species